rnacentral:rRNA from 1 species
UACGUAGGUGGCAGGCGUUACUCGGAAUCACUAGGCGUAAAGCGCAGGUAGGCGGUUCGGUAAGUCUCUUGUGAAAGCUCCCGGCUCAACUGGGCGGGUCAGGCGGAUACGCAGAGCUUGAGCAAGCUAGGGGGCAAUGGAAUUCCCGGUGUAGUGGUGGAAUGCGUAGAUAUCGGGAGGAACACCAGUGGCGAAGGCGGUUGCCUGGGGCUUUGCUGACGCUGAUGCGCGAAAGCGUGGGGGAGCGAGUCCGG